ensembl:lncRNA
GACAAGUUCAUCAACGUUUAUCAUGCUGAACUCAGGUUCAGGGCUGAAGAACACAAUGUGUGCAAUUCCCUUGAAAAAAUCUCUGAUUAAUGAAUAGUAAAGAGAAAUGGAAUAGCAGUUGGAAGGAAUAUAAAAAAUCUUGCCUGAUGUGUAUUUUUCUGUGGUUUUACAGAAAAAGGAAAGGAGCUCCUAGAGCAGCUUGAAGUACAGAACAGUAACACUUCUGGAAAUGCUCAGGUGGAGCAACUCCCCAUGGUCUGGGCUCCUGCUUCACCCACUGUCCCCAGAAGUGGUACCUCUCACAUCACUGCUCAUUUUAAACAGUUCAUCAUCCACUAAACAUACUGAAGCAAUUGCAGUCAUCAUCUAAAACUAUUUCUGAAACAAUACAGCACUGUUAAAUAAACUACAGUGCCUUGCAUAAGC